rnacentral:rRNA from 1 species
UACGUAGGUGGCAAGCGUUGUCCGGAUUUACUGGGCGUAAAGAGCGCGCAGGCGGUCGUUCAAGUCGCGUGUGAAAGCCCCCCGGCUCAACUGGGGAGGGUCACGCGAUACUGAUCGACUCGAAGGCAGGAGAGGGAAGUGGAAUUCCCGGUGUAGUGGUGAAAUGCGUAGAUAUCUGGAGGAAUACCGGUGGCGAAGGCGGCAUCCUGGACCGGCAUUGACGCUGAUGAGCGAAAGCUAGGGGAGCAAACGGG